CUGGCUGAUGAGACCAAGGCGAAUGCGACUGUGCCUGCUGACUCUUGGCUUGGGGGGGGGGGUGAUGAGAUCUGUAAUCUUGGUGGGGGUACCGAGACCUGACUUCCCGCUUUUAAACAGAUCACUAGCAUUGCUGGCCUUGCCUUCAUGUCUGCUGCCACCACAGUUCUUGGCAGCAGCCUGCAGGGAGGCCCACAGAGGGGGGGCCAAAGUGUGAGUGGCUUAUGUGAGCGCAACCUUGAAUCUGACA
rnacentral:snoRNA from 1 species